rnacentral:lncRNA from 1 species
CAGCAUAUCACUAUCAAUAUGGGUUUUAAAAUACAGAGGUCUAUUAUCAUGUAUGAAACAAUAAAAAUCCCACAUCAAGAAGAAUUUUUCAUUAGACUUGUUUUAGAGUCUGGCAAUACUAUAUUUUCUAUGGAACUUUGGUAUGCAUUUUCCUUUUCCUGGUGAUCAAGUUUAUCAUGAUCUAAAACUUGACGGGAGAAAUCUAAUU